CAAUUGGGUUAGAGAACACAGAGGCUAACUGGCGGGCAUAAAAGACACUACUUAUCACUGCUCCUAGCUUACAUCUCAGGCGCCAUCUUCUUUGAGGAAACACUCUGCCAAUCCAUCACUGAUGGCAGGAAGAUUGUUGACGUGCUUGUUGAGCAAAACAUCAUCCUUGGUAUUAAAGUCGACAAGAGUUGGAUGAUGACUAGUGAUUACUACAGGGUUUGGUUCAAAUAACGAGUCAUUGUGCCAAGGUCUUGACGGCCUUGCCUCUCGCUCAGCUGCUUAUUACCGACAGGGAGCUCGUCUCGCAAAAUGGUAGAAAGACAAUGGAUUGGUACCCUAUUCUUGACCCUGAGAUCUUGCUUGAUGGUGAGCAUGGGAUUGAUAGGACAGGACCUUUGAAGUGGCCAAGAAAGUAAGGGUUGAGGUUUUCUUCUACCUUGCUGAGAACAAUGUCAUGUUUGAAGGCAUCCUCCUCAAGCCCAGCAUGUUCGCUCCUGGA